rnacentral:rRNA from 1 species
GAUGAACGCUGGCGGCGUGCCUAACACAUGCAAGUCGAGCGAUUUACUUCGGUAAAGAGCGGCGGACGGGUGAGUAACGCGUGGGUAACCUGCCCUGUACACACGGAUAACAUACCGAAAGGUAUGCUAAUACGAGAUAAUAUGCUUUUAUCGCAUGGUAGAAGUAACAAAGCUUUUGCGGUACAGGAUGGACCCGCGUCUGAUUAGCUAGUUGGUAAGGUAACGGCUUACCAAGGCGACGAUCAGUAGCCGACCUGAGAGGGUGAUCGGCCAAAUUGGAAAUGAGACACGGUCCAAACUCCUACGGGAGGCAGCAGUGGGGAAUAUUGCACAAUGGGCGAAAGCCUGAUGCAGCAACGCCGCGUGAGCGAUGAAGGCCUUCGGGUCGUAAAGCUCUGUCCUCAAGGAAGAUAAUGACGGUACUUGAGGAGGAAGCCCCGGCUAACUACGUGCCAGCCGCCGCGGUAA